rnacentral:rRNA from 1 species
CAGUAGCCGCGGUAAUACAGAGGGUGCGAGCGUUAAUCGGAUUUACUGGGCGUAAAGCGUGCGUAGGCGGCUUCUUAAGUCGGAUGUGAAAUCCCUGAGCUAAACUUAGGAAUUGCAUUCGAUACUGGGAAGCUAGAGUAUGGGAGAGGAUGGUAGAAUUCCAGGUGUAGCGGUGAAAUGCGUAGAGAUCUGGAGGAAUACCGAUGGCGAAGGCAGCCAUCUGGCCUAAUACUGACGCUGAGGUACGAAAGCAUGGGGAGCAAACAGGAUUAGAUACCCCCGUAGUCCCUGUCUCUUAUAC